AACGUAGGACGCAAGCGUUAUCCGGAGUUACUGGGCGUAAAGGGCGUGUAGGCGGCCUGGUAAGUCCGUCGUGAAAGCCCCCGGCUAAACUGGGGGAGGACGAGGGAGACUGCGAGGCUAGAGGCAGGUAGAGGGGCAUAGAAUUCCGGGUGUAGUGGUGAAAUGCGUAGAGAUCCGGAGGAAUACCAGAGGCGAAGGCGAUGCCCUGGGCCUGUACUGACGCUGAGACGCGACAGCAUGGGGAGCGAACGGG
rnacentral:rRNA from 1 species